GAUCCAUGUCCACUCACAGCCUGGGUCCUGCACCUCUGCAGUAAGCUUUGCAGAGCAAUUAAAAGCUCCUUGAGGCACUAUCUGGCUCUGCCAAAUCACAUGCAUGGCACUGCCUUUAUUUUUAGUGGGAGAGCAUCAUUCUCCUCAGUUCCUGAUCGGCUGCUGCAAUGAGUGAUGAAUGUCCAUGGAUAGAGUCAGGAGGAUGGUAUCUAACAGUUGACCUUUCAGGCUGUCAGAUUCAACAGCUGGAGGUUGGGUUGAAGGGACAGAAGAUUCUGGUGGAGCAGAAAGCAUUGGAGAUGGCCUUGAGACAAUCGGAGAAGGACUGGAACCAUGGUUGCUGUGGCCACCAUGGGGUGAGCUUGACGGUGGAUUAGUAAUGAUCUCAUCAGGAGAAGGACUGGAAGGGUUUUCUAUAUGAACAGAAGCUUCAGACGAGGGGCUGGAGUCAUAUCUCCCUUCAGAAAGAUCGAUGCUACUUGUGAACCUUUUACAAUGUGUCACAGGGUUGGAUACUUCACCCAAGAUUUGGAUUUUCUCUGCUAAUGAAUCUAUGGAUUUGUAUUUGAAUUGAAUUUGUAUUUCUUAAUAUUAGCAUGGUUUAAUCAUGAUCAUCAUUUGCUCAACUGGAGAUUUUACUUAGAUAUUUUUAAAUGGUGGAUUUAAUUAAAUGUGGUGGUUUAGAUAGAUAUUGAUGUGACAAGAGAGUUGAUUUCUGGAUUGAUGUAUAAAAUAUGUAUGAGAUGAGAUGUUAUGUACUACAUUUAUUAAUCUCUCUCUUUCUCUCUCUCUCUCCCCUGUAGCUUUCUCUUUUUAUACUCUUCUAAUAAAAGAAAAAGAAAAGGAAA